rnacentral:snRNA from 1 species
CGAUAUGAGGGCGAUCUGGCUGUGACAUCUGUCACCCCAUUGAUCGCCAGGGUUGAUUCAGCUGAUCUAGCUGGCUAGGUGGGUGUCCCCUUCCUCCCUCACCAUUCCGUGUGUGUCCCUCCCGAAGCUGUGCGCUCAGUCGAAGAGGACGGCCUUCCCCAAACAGAGACGGACAAGUCUUCCAUCUUCAGUCGAGGGUGUACAGGC